rnacentral:lncRNA from 1 species
GUAAAGCUCCCUUAACCACAAUUUCAGUCUUGCACCCUACGAAUUUCAGUCUAUUUAAACCCCAAUUCAUCAUCCCCAAUUCGCUUUUUCCUCAUCUGUUUUCUUACAUCAUAUAGUCCAUUUCCAUCUCUCACUACAGAAUCCAAGCUGGUAAUUUUAAUAACUUUUGCAAAGUUAUUUCAUUUACUGUUUUCAUUUCUGCACAAAACCAAACUCCCACAAAAAUUCUUAUUUCUUUCAAAUUCAAACAUGCAUACACAGUAUUAAACUUAUUAGAAUGCAUAUUCACUGCUUUUACAAAAGAAAAUGGAAGAAUUAAAAGAAUAAUAGUAAGGGAUUAGAAGAAAAGAAAAGAAAGGAGUAGAAGAAUUGUUGGUGAAGAUUGUUGUUGCCGGAGAGGUGAAAGGGGGGAGGCAGCCUGACCGGCUGCUGCUGUCUGUCGAGGGGCGGCAAGGGCCGCUGCUGUCGGCCAAAGGAGAGAGAGAGGCAGGGGCAGUGGUGGCGCCAGAUCUGGAAAGGGAGGUCGGAGCGGCCGUAGCUGGGCGCGGUGAGGAGAGAUGAGGGAGAAGGGCGAGAAGUGAGGGAGAGUGAGAGGGAGACAAGAGCUGAGGGAAGACAGAGAGAGGUCGAAGGGAAGGAGAGAGGAGGCGGAGCCGCUGGCCUCCGGCGGCGGCGUGCCGUCUGGUGGCGGCGGCAGGAGAGGGAGGAGGGCUGAAAGGGAGCGAGGCUGCGUGAGUUUGUGUGUUGGGUGUGAGUCAAAAUGAGGUUUUAAAUUAAGGUGUAGAAUAAUGGGCUUAGGGCCCCUUAGUAGAUGAGUGUGGGAAUGGGUUUAAAGAGGGGCUUAAUUUUAUUAAAUGAUUGGGCUCUUUUUAAUUAUCAAAUGGACUUGCUUUUGCAUAUCAUUUUAUAUAGGACAUCAUUCAUAUUAUAUUUGGAUUUGUAUUAUUAAUUUAAAUUUAGUUUUAAUUAAAUAUUGAGCCCAAAUAUUUUUAUAAGAAAAACUCUUUUAUAAUCUAUUAGACAAAUGAUUUCAAAUGGUUUUAUGAUUUAAACUACUAUUAUUAUUAUUAUUAUUAUUAUUUUAAAGUACAUUUAGGCCCUUAUGUUUAUUAUUUGAAUUUAUCUGAUUAGGUGCGGCGCGACUAGGACGUUACUUUUAAUUGAAUUACUCAAGUUAGCAUUCAAGUUGAAGUUCAAGUUCAAAAUUCAGGUGUGGGAUUUAUUUCAGUACAUGCUGUGGUUAAUCUUUGUCCAUUUUAAUAUUAUGUGUUUACCAUAUGUGAGUUGCAUUAAAUUAUAUCGCUAGAGGCCCGCUCAAUGGGUCCAGGACUUCACCGUCCUUGGUAUGCCACAAUGCGAUUUCAUGUUAAAGUUAUGGUUGCAACCAGUCGCCAGGGGCCGGCUCAAUCGGUCCAGGACGGAAAGGUCCUUGGUAUGCCACCGUGCGACUUUCAGUUACGAAUGUAUUGAUCAUAUGUGAUUCUCAUUUUAUUAACGUGGACAAUGAUUGCAUGUUCCCACACUGAGUGUACCCUGUAUGCUAAUCUCAUACUUAACAUUUUCAGGUUUUAAAGGUCGGAGACGCGUGGAAGGUCGAAUGGCGAGUCAAAUAUUUUAUAUUUAGUUUUACGUAAAAAUGUUAUGUUGAGUAAAAUAUUUUAAAUAAAAUGUUUGUUUUCUUAUUUUCACAUUAAAUAUUUAUUUAUAUUCAUAGUUUUUCCGCGUGCGUUUUCAUUUAAAAUUAAAAUGGAUUUGGGUGUCACA